rfam:Marine actinobacterium MedAcidi-G2B MedDCM-JTLCOM-C1, whole genome shotgun sequence.
CAUAGUCCUCGGGGUUGGGUGCAAAUCCCUACCGGCGGUGAUCUGUUUUGUUUUAAACAGCAGCCCGCGACCCUUGUGAAACACUUGUGGAUCAAGGCUGAUUAGGUGCGAUUCCUAAGCCGACGGUAAUAGUCCGGAUGGGAGAGGGCGUAA